rnacentral:rRNA from 1 species
UACGGAGGGGGCUAGCGUUGUUCGGAAUUACUGGGCGUAAAGCGCAUGCAGGCGGCUUUGUAAGUUAGAGGUGAAAGCCCGGGGCUCAACUCCGGAAUUGCCUUUAAGACUGCAUCGCUAGAAUUGUGGAGAGGUAAGUGGAAUUCCGAGUGUAGAGGUGAAAUUCGUAGAUAUUCGGAAGAACACCAGUGGCGAAGGCGACUUACUGGACACAUAUUGACGCUGAGGUGCGAAAGCGUGGGGAGCAAACAGG